rnacentral:lncRNA from 1 species
GGCAGCCGUUACCAACACAUUCGCUCUUCUUGCCUAGGGUCUAACGCCAAGGGCUGCAUGUUUUGUAUUCAAUUCGCACAAUGUCUACAUAUGAAAAGCUGAUGACAGAUCAGAUCUGAAUUACUUUAGUAUGUGUUAAAUACAACUUGAAGACAUGCAGAACCUAGACCAGUGGUCUAUGAUACUAUGAGCGGGAGGUAAUGCGGUUGAAACGUGAGAGGAGAUUCAGCAGGAAGCGAAUCGUGACUGCAAAUUGUGCACACAGAUCACCAACCACCGGCGAGGAUGGAAGAUUGACAAUUUAAAAGAAUAGGGAGGACAACCGAAAGAGACAUUCAUCACCUGUCAAGAAAAAAUGACAAGUGUGACAAUGACAACGUCAGAACGUGUAUUUUGCAGGAGUUUGCUGCGCCCCCGCCCCUGUUGUUCAGAAAGUUGAGUAACCCUGACUUGUCCCCCGCCGCCAACAAGACCAAACUGCACCGACAGCUCAGCCAGGAUGAUGGCCGCACACGCCGUAGCAGUAUGGCUAUGACCGGUAAGCAGCAGCUUCUUCCCCUGUCCAGCAGUAUGCACGGUCGGGUGAGUCAGCUAGCCUGGCAUCUUCCUGUAGAACCCCCCAACAACCUGGUCCGCAUGAGGAACCAGUCCCUGGGCCAGUCUGCACCAUCACUCACUGCAGGACUGCUCCCCAAUGGGCUCAGGAGAAGCGAAGCUCGAGUCAUGCAUCCUCCGAAACAUGGCACGCCAAACCACACUACUUAACACCUGCCCGCUUAACCCGGAAGCCAGCUGCACUAAUGUGCCGGAGGAAACACUGUUCAACUGACGACCAGCGUCAGCCUUCAGGUGCCUGGCCCACCACAAGGAGUCACUGGAGCACAAUGAGUCAAGUAAAGCCCCCCCUCGGCCAAACCCUCCCCUAACCCAGACGACGCUGAGCAAAUUGUGCUCCUCCCUAUGGGACUCCCGGUCACGGCCGGUUGUGACACAGCUUGGGAUCGAACCCAGGUCUGUAGUGACGCCUCAAGCACUCAGUGACGCCUAGUGUAGUAACGCCUCAGUGCCUUAGAUCGCUGCGCCACUCAGGAGGCCCCGGAAGUGGUAUGUUUUAAGCAAAAGCACAAACACAAAUGUAUUAUUCAAACAUGUUGAUCGUGUUGAACAGAUUUUUCCCUUCCUCCACAUUGGUACUACUGAAGGCUCUUCCUCUAUGAUCUAUAUGUUUACUGGAACAAGACCAACUAUUCAGGCUCCGGUCAGAAAGCCUUUCAUGAAGUAUAAAGUUAACACAGACCUCAGAGCCCCAAACAAACCAACAGCUUGCUGUUUGUUGCUUUCAUAUUUUCAUUAUUGUGUUUCUUUAUGCCCCCAAAGCUGUCGCUGCCAGUGUUUUUGUGCUUUCAUUUUUGUUAAUACUUUUUCUGUCAACUUUUUGAUGUUAGAAAUGUCUUUGUGUUUGAAAUUGCAGUGACUUGAUGUGGCUUGCCUUGAUGUAAUAUUUGGGGAAGGGAGGGGGGCGGGGAGGGGAGGUGUGUUGCCUGUGUACCUUUGUUGUAAAUAAUUUGUUUGGGAUACUAGCUGAGGGUUAUACUACAAAGUAGGAUCAAUGAGUUAGCCAGCUAGCUUUGAUAAGCAAAUACAAAUAACUACUCAUUUUGUGGUUCAUUAGGAAAGCUAAACUUUGUUUUUUGGUUAGUUGGGUCAAUCAGACCAUUAAUAUUUCAAGCUUAUCUUUAUAAAAAAUGUUAUUUCAUAAUAUUUAGUUAACUGGCUUAGUUGUUGAUCUUGCUUUGUAGUAAACCCUUCUGAAGGAACCGGGGAGCUCUGCUAUUCUCUCUCUCUCUCGCUCUCUCUCUCUAUCUCUAUCGUUUCCCCCUCUCCUCUCCUUUGCUCAAUCCUCUUGUUCAGCAGAGUUUAAUCUUGAACAUUGUCACGGGCAAAAAGGCAAACACAUCCUUCUCCCUUCUGCCACCCCUCCCUCCUCAGAAUUGACACUCAUUGAUUUUCCACAAGUUGCUUUAGAUUGGCACACAAAUCAGGCUCUUUAAUUCAGACUGGGCUCGGUCGCGUAGCCGUGAGCGGUUAGUGGCUUUAUUUAUGGGCCACACACACAAACACAGCCCUCUAUCCUCUUCUCCUCCCCUGUCUUUGGUUGAUAACAGGCACCCAGCACCCAGAGUUGUAGUUGAUUUACAGGGUGAUUGAUUGCAUGCAGGGAUUGAGGAAGUCUAGCAAGCGGAGAUUCCUUUAUCCACUCAAUGUGUCCGUCUCUAAUUAAGGGGUGUUCUACAUCUCUCUCUCUCUGUCAUCUACUGUGCCAUCAGAAAGUCACUGGUUUUACACAAAAUACCCAAUAGUGUCAAAGUGGAAUUAUGUUUUUAGAAAUGUUUAGAAAUGAAUAAAAAAUGAAAAGCUGAAAUUCCUUGAGUCAAUAAGUAUUCCAUCCCUUUGUUAUGGCAAGCCUAAAUAAGUUUAGGAGUAAAAUUGUGCUUAACC